rnacentral:rRNA from 1 species
AACGAACGCUGGCGGCAUGCCUAACACAUGCAAGUCGAACGAGACCUUCGGGUCUAGUGGCGCACGGGUGCGUAACGCGUGGGAACCUGCCCUUAGGUUCGGAAUAACUCCCCGAAAGGGGUGCUAAUACCGGAUAAUGUCUUCGGACCAAAGAUUUAUCGCCUUUGGAUGGGCCCGCGUUGGAUUAGCUAGUUGGUAGGGUAAAAGCCUACCAAGGCGACGAUCCAUAGCUGGUCUGAGAGGAUGAUCAGCCACACUGGGACUGAGACACGGCCCAGACUCCUCCGGGAGGCAGAAGGGGGGAAAAUUGGAAAAUGGGCGAAAGCCUGACCCCGCAAUGCCGCGGAAGUGAUGAAGGCUUUGGGGUUGUAAAGCUCUUUUACCCGGGAUGAAAAUGACAGCACCGGGAGAAUAAGCCCCGGCUAACUCCGG